rnacentral:rRNA from 1 species
AGCAGCCGCGGUAAUUCCAGCUCCAAUAGCGUAUAUUAAAGUUGUUGCAGUUAAAAAGCUCGUAGUUGAACUUCAGGCCUGGCUGGACGGUCCGCCUUCCGGGCGAGCACUGUCCGUGGUCGGGUCCUACCUUCUGGCGAAGCGUCAUGGCCUUAACCGGCCGUGGCGGGGAACCAGGACUUUUACUGUGAAAAAAUUAGAGUGUUCAAAGCAGGCAAUUCGCUUGGAUACAUUAGCAUGGAAUAAUGGAAUAGGACAAUGGUUCUAUUUGUUGGUUUCUAGGGCUGUUGUAAUGAUUAAUAGGGAUAGUUGGGGGCAUUAGUAUUCAAUUGUCAGAGGUGAAAUUCUUGGAUUUAUUGAAGACUAACUACUGCGAAAGCAUUUGCCAAGGAUGUUUUCAUUAAUCAAGAACGAAAGUUAGGGGAUCGAAGACGAUCAGAUACCGUCGUAGUCUUAACCAUAAACUAUGCCGACUAGGAAUCGGGCGAUGUUGACAAAAUGACGCGACUCGGCACCUCAU